rnacentral:tRNA from 1 species
AUUUAUAUAGUUUACACAAAACACCCCAUUUUCAAUGGGAAGAUAGAUAAUAUAUCUUAUAAAUA